rnacentral:rRNA from 1 species
AGGCCGGCGAGCUAGUCUGCAGUCGACGCUUCUUUCCUCCCCGAGUGCUUGCACUCAUUUGGAAAGAGGAGUGGCGGACGGGUGAGUAACACGUGGGUAACCUACCCAUCAGAGGGGGAUAACACUUGGAAACAGGUGCUAAUACCGCAUAACAGUUUAUGCCGCAUGGCAUAAGAGUGAAAGGCGCUUUCGGGUGUCGCUGAUGGAUGGACCCGCGGUGCAUUAGCUAGUUGGUGAGGUAACGGCUCACCAAGGCCACGAUGCAUAGCCGACCUGAGAGGGUGAUCGGCCACACUGGGACUGAGACACGGCCCAGACUCCUACGGGAGGCAGCGGUAGGGAAUCUUCGGCAAUGGACGAAAGUCUGACCGAGCAACGCCGCGUGAGUGAAGAAGGUUUUCGGAUCGUAAAACUCUGUUGUUAGAGAAGAACAGGGACGUUAGUAACUGAACGUCCCCUGACGGUAUCUAACCAGA